rnacentral:lncRNA from 1 species
GUAAUAUGUACGGUUGACAUGACAAAAACACGCGAGUGUAUCAGUGACGCUGCUGAGUCGUACUGUAACUGUGAUUUGGUUGAAAAGUAUAUAUGUAGUAAUGGGAAAUUGGAAUUUAUUAGUCGUGAGUUUGCAGCAUUCUAAAAAUUCAUAUUCGAAAUAUGUGGUCUGUAGGCUUUCCGUUCCGCGAAUGCCUUAUUCAGUCUAAUGCAGAGUAAUUAAUGCAUUAUAAUUAAUGGAAUACAGAAUACAUACAUAUACUGUUCCUCCCUAGCUCGUAAUUGACAAAACUGUCUGAAAAACCGCUUAAAAACCCGGUCGUUUCGCAGUUCUACUGGGAACAAUAGUUUAGAAAUCUAUUUGGAAUAGGGUCAACUUAAUGUUUAAAUUCCCUGUUUAUGAAAUAGAAAACAUACGAAUCUUCUCAUUUCAUGGGAACGACCUGAGACUGCAAUCACGGCUUCAAUUUUUGAAUUGCAGAAUAAUUAGAUGCACUAGUGAUCUGGUGUAUUUAAGAUAUCUAUGGCUAAAGCUCUUUGAGCUGAUUCUAAAUUUGAAUAUGUAACCAACGCAAUAUCAAUAAUCUCUCCCCAUUGCGCGAAGUAAUCUUUUAUCACUUUUUCAGUUGUCUUCAACUUAAGGCCACUGACGAAAAGUUUCCUUUCUUGUUCAGCCAUUACUUUCUCGCAAGAGGUAGAACGAGGUACAAAUGGGCCUUGGAAAACUUAUAACUUUUCCUAACUUCUUCUUCUUGCUCAUAGCUAAUCGUAAUCCUAAUGGCUAUGCUAAUGAUAAUGUUCACUGAUGCGUGAAGCUACUUUUAUAGAGUUAGUCAGAGGAUGAUUUUGCCAUCUUGAAGUAUUUCCUAUACGCAAUGUUGUGGUCGUUGGUAGAAAGUUCUCUGACCACAUUCAUGUCCGUUGACGUUAUUUGUGGACAAGGCGUUUUCUUUAAUCUUUAGAACUAUGUGCUUACUCGUGCACAUAAGCUAUAAUAUGAAAAGGUAUAAGCUAUAAUAUGAAAAGGUAUAAGCUACAGUAUAAUAUAAUAAUAGUAUAAUAAUAAUAAUAUUUAAUGUAUGUAAAAUUACAUGAUAAUGUCUAUCGUGUAAUAGGGUAUAUGGUAUAAAAUUGAAUGGCUGAGUAGCUUCUGUCCUCUCGUAAAAACAACUUCUUGGAUUUUUAGUGUAAAAAUUCAGCGCUCCUGUCUGCUUGCUAAACGUUUUUUUCUUUUCAUUUUUAAUUUUGUUCUUUAUUUUCAUUUUCAUUAAGAGGUAUGCGCGCUAUGCUUCACCAUCCUUUCUCAUUCUACCACUAAGUUCCCUCUAUAUUAUAGCAAAGCUGACCCCCUUUGCACCUGUCCGUAAGAGCCUUGGAAAAUUUAUUAUAACUUUUCCUAACGUCUUUCGUUCGUGAUAUGUCCUGUGACACCAACCUGAUCUGUGGAGAUGUCCGUCUUGCUUCUUUGUGCAGUAAGAUGAUCAUCAGGUAGAAUUGCAGGUUUCUUUUCCCAGCAGCACGACGUUUCUUUGCAUUAUGCCACCCUUCGAUGUGAUUAUUGGUGCGGAUUUCUUCUUUAAAAACACUCCAGCUGGAUGGUGGCCAAGUUCAUCCUUUAAUCCAUCUUUUGGAAAUAUACUGGACAAAACUUUGAAGUCUGGUGGUUGUGUCCUGUUUUUCCAGUUGGUUGAACAUUGGGGCAAUUUGAGUUGCU